GACAGAGGGUGCAAACGUUGUUCGGAAUUGCUGGGCGUAAAGCGCGUGUAGGCGGCCUUUUAAGUCGGGCGUGAAAUCCCACGGCUCAACCGUGGAAGUGCACUCGAAACUGGAUGGCUAGAGUCCUGGAGAGGAAGGUGGAAUGCUUGGUGUAGAGGUGAAAUUCGUAGAUAUCAAGCGGAACACCGGUGGCGAAGGCGGCCUUCUGGACAGUGACUGACGCUGAGACGCGAAAGCGUGGGGAGCAAACAGG
rnacentral:rRNA from 1 species